GUGGAGGAGAUCUACGACCUU
rnacentral:misc_RNA from 1 species